ACGGAAGGCAGCAGUGGGGAAUAUUAGGCAAUGGGGGAAACCCUGACCUAGCAACGCCGCGUGAAGGAAGAAGGCUUUCGGGUUGUAAACUUCUUUUACCAGGGACGAAGGACGUGGCGGUACCUGGAGAAAAAGCCACGGCUAACUACGUGCCAGCAGCCGCGGUAAUACGUAGGUGGCAAGCGUUGUCCGGAUUUACUGGGUGUAAAGGGCGUGUAGGCGGAGGAGCAAGUCAGGAGUGAAAUCUAUGGGCUUAACCCAUAAACUGCUUUUGAAACUGUUCCCCUUGAGUAUCGGAGAGGCAGGCGGAAUUCCUAGUGUAGCGGUGAAAUGCGUAGAUAUUAGGAAGAACACCAGCGGCGAAGGCGGCCUGCUGGACGACAACUGACGCUGAGGAGCGAAAGUGUGGGGAGCAAACAGGAUUAGAUACCCUGGUA
rnacentral:rRNA from 1 species